rnacentral:rRNA from 1 species
AGCGAACGCUGGCGGCAGGCUUAACACAUGCAAGUCGAGCGGGCGUAGCAAUACGUCAGCGGCAGACGGGUGAGUAACGCGUGGGAACGUACCUUUUGGUUCGGAACAACACAGGGAAACUUGUGCUAAUACCGGAUAAGCCCUUACGGGGAAAGAUUUAUCGCCGAAAGAUCGGCCCGCGUCUGAUUAGCUAGUUGGUGAGGUAACGGCUCACCAAGGCGACGAUCAGUAGCUGGUCUGAGAGGAUGAUCAGCCACAUUGGGACUGAGACACGGCCCAAACUCCUACGGGAGGCAGCAGUGGGGAAUAUUGGACAAUGGGCGCAAGCCUGAUCCAGCCAUGCCGCGUGAGUGAUGAAGGCCCUAGGGUUGUAAAGCUCUUUUGUGCGGGAAGAUAAUGACGGUACCGCAAGAAUAAGCCCCGACUAACUUCGUGCCAGCAGCCGCGGUAAU